AGUAAGAGGAAAAUCCGUCGACUUUAAAAAUCGUGAGGGUUCAAGUCCCUCUAUCCCCAAAAGUUUAUUUCACACCCUAACUAGUUAUCUUUUUUUCAUUAAUGGUUUGAUGGAUCGGGACGGAAAUGCUUUUCUCCUAUUACAAGUCUUGUGAUAUAUCUCAUAUAUGUACAAAUGAAUAUCUUUGAGCAAGGAGUACUCAUUUGAGUGAUUCACAAUCCAUACUGUGAAAACUUUCAAAUUCAGAGAAACCCUGGAAUUAAUAAAAAUGGGCAAUCCUGAGCCAACUCCUUUUUUUCAAAAGAAAAAAAUAAGGGUUCAGAAAGCAAGAAAAAAAGGAUAGGUGCAGAGACUCAAAGGAAGCUAUUCUAACAAAUGGGGUUGACUAUGUUGUUAUAAGAAUUCUUCCAUCAAAACUCCAAUAAAAAAAGGGGUGAAGCAUAUACGUACUGAACUAUGCCAAACGAUUAAUGACAACCCGAAUCUUUAUUUCUUUUUUUUUUUUUUUAUGAAUAUAAAAUCAAAAAAUUUAUACGAGAAAAUGGAAGAAUUCUUGUGAAUCGAUUCCAAGUUGAAAAAAGAAUCAAAUAUUCAUUCAUCAAAUCAUUCACUCCAUAGUCUGAUAAAUCUUUUGAAGAACUGAUUAAUCGGACGAGAAUGAAGAUAGAGUCCCGUUCUACAUGUCAAUACUGACAACAAUGAAAUUUAUAGUAAGAGGAAAAUCCGUCGACUUUAAAAAUCGUGAGGGUUCAAGUCCCUCUAUCCCCAAAAGUUUAUUUCACACCCUAACUAGUUUUUUUCAUUAAUGGUUUGAUGGAUCGGGACGGAAAUGCUUUUCUCCUAUUACAAGUCUUCUGAUAUAUCUCAUAUAUGUACAAAUGAAUAUCUUUGAGCAAGGAGUACUCAUUUGAGUGAUUCACAAUCCAUACUCGUACUAAAACUGAUAGACAAAGUCCCUCUUUUUGAAGACCCAAGAAAUUCUGGUACCUAGAUAAGACUUUGUAAGAUAUAAGACUUUUCGUCCUUUUUUAAUUGACAUAAACCCAAGUUAUCUAGUAAAAUGAGGAGAUGAUGCACCAGAAAGGGGAAUGGUCGGGAUAG
rnacentral:precursor_RNA from 1 species